rnacentral:rRNA from 1 species
UACGUAGGGGGCAAGCGUUGUCCGGAUUCAUUGGGCGUAAAGAGCGUGUAGGCGGCCAGGUAGGUCGGUUGUGAAAACUGGAGGCUCAACCUUCAGAGGUCGACCGAAACCAUCUGGCUAGAGUCCGGAAGAGGUGAGUGGAACUGCGAGUGUAGAGGUGAAAUUCGUAGAUAUUCGCAAGAACACCAGUGGCGAAGGCGGCUCACUGGCCCGGUACUGACGCUGAGGUGCGAAAGCGUGGGGAGCAAACAGG